ACCAGCACUUGCAACAUGUAAGCUACAGCUGUUGAUUACACUUCCAUUAAAUGCUAGUGAACCUCUCUAAAAUAAAGUCACUGAAAUGGUGAACAUAAGCAUAAGCAGAGUGCAGGGCUUGUCCUAGCUGUAGUUUUAGCUCUAAAUAUUUAUCACUAGGCUGGAUGUAGCCAACUGUGAUGGCUUAUCUGAUGUGUUUUUUUUUACUUGUGCGUGUCGCAGAACACAAACACUCUCAUGUUAAUCUAUGCAGCUGUCUACCAACACCAUCGGGCGUGUUUUUUCAGCUUUGCUCUUGUAGCAGGAUAGAGGUGCUAUCCAUGUUAGUCACGGUUAAGUACCACUAGUGGCCGUCAUGAUGUGGGCGGUAUAAAAGCAGCCAUCCUCCACCUGCCUCUUUCUUUUUGCGCUCCUGUCACUUGCGCGUCACUUCCGGGCCAAAAGGUAGUCUGGUCCGAUAGGGCGACUAUUUGUUGCUGCUUCAGGGUUUUCGUGCGAGCUAUGGUGUAAACGCUGAUGACGGCCGGAGUCCUCUCUCACUCCCUCCUCCUGUGUGAACGCGAGUGUGUGUGUGUGUGUGUGUAUGCCAGUGUUUGGUCGUAAACAGGUAUGUGUUAGCAUAGCAAACAACUGUAGCAUUUCUGUUUUAUGUAGCCACACUAACAUCAUGUUUGGUCGUAAACAGGACCAACUGCAAUCAGCUCAUUGGGGUCGCUGCUGCUUUGCCAGGCUGAUCUUGCCUUCCCACGCUACUCUGCUUUGCCAGGCUGAUCUUGCCUUCCCACGCUACUCUGCUUUGCCAGGCUGAUCUUGCCUUCCCACGCUACUCUGCAUUGCUGGCUGAUAUUGCCUUUCCACGCUACUCCGCUUCACUGCUGCUUCCGCCGCGUUGUUUACUUCACGUGCUUUGCUCCGGCUGGCACCUCGUGCCUACUGCCGCCUGUCGCUGCGGCGCACCCCCCCCCCCCCCCCCCCGAGUAGUUCUACCAAGGGUGCUCAUCCAGUGUGCCUUUUAACCGGGGUUUCCCCCCAUCCGUGUGUGCAUGAGUGUUGAUGUGUGUUCUAAUUAUUUGAAUGAUUUGUUUUCUUUUGUUUUGAUUACUUAUCUAGUUCUGCGUUUAUCAACUAUUUUGUGUGUAUUGUUUUUCUUUUGGUUUGAUUACUGAUUUAGUUCUGCGUUUAUCUCAACUAUUUUGUGUGUAUUGUUUGUUUUCUUUUGAUUUGAUUACUUAUUUAGUUUUGCGUUUAUCUCAACUAUUUUGUGUGUAUUGUUUGUUUUCGUUUGGUUGCAUGGUGAAGAUUUUGCAUUGAAAAGGAAAGAAGUUAUUUAAUAAAUUGUAUUUUUCUAUAACAUUUGAACUACGUCUCAUGCCUUCUAAACGAGUGGACUUACCUGUGUGCUUUGCACUUUACAUAAAUUCCCUGAGGUGAAAUUCCCAGGGUGGCGUUGUCGGUUCCUUUUUCUUAUUUCUUAGUUAGAUCUUUUAGUUUAUUUUCCUUUCGCCCACCACCUUGCCACACUUGGCGUUGUCGGCAGGAUCACUUUUUUUUCGAACGGCUGAGACGUGUGUUC